rnacentral:rRNA from 1 species
UACGAAGGGGGCUAGCGUUGCUCGGAAUCACUGGGCGUAAAGCGCACGUAGGCGGGUCGUUAAGUCGGGGGUGAAAUCCUGGAGCUCAACUCCAGAACUGCCUUCGAUACUGGCGAUCUUGAGUACGGAAGAGGUAUGUGGAACUCCGAGUGUAGAGGUGAAAUUCGUAGAUAUUCGGAAGAACACCAGUGGCGAAGGCGACAUACUGGUCCGUUACUGACGCUGAGGCUCGAAAGCGUGGGGAGCAAACAGG